GCAGCAUGUAGCUAUCAUCAGAUACUAAACAGCAGAGUGACCUUGCUGCUGAAAACUAUAUGGCCUUUGCUGAUUGAUCUGUAGCUGCCUAGUGUUACUUUUUAAUUAUCCAGUAGUCCUGUGUUCCAGGAGCUAUCAUUUGACUCAUUGUGUCUAAUAUUGACCCAGAUGCUCUGAAUUGCCAGUCAUGAUAAAGGUCCUAUAAUAGGACCGAAACGUCGAAUGUUAAAGGCAACGUUAUUGAACCUGAUUAACCUGAAUAAACUGAUUGACACAUCAAGAUCUUCAAAGUGAUUGAUUUCUGCGAGAGUGCACCCACCACACGGGAGGGACGUGCGGUGAGGUAAAUGGCUCAGGAGGCACUGGCUUGUACCAGAUCCAGAGUUUUGCACAAUAUAUGAGCACUAUACACAGGUGCAGCAGUAUGGAAAUUUGGAGAGUUUUGAGCAGAGACGUGUGGGAAAGAAUGACAUAUGGUUGGAACAGCUUAGAUCCUGAAAAACCAACAUAUAAAAUGGAGUUUAAGAAAGUAGAUUCAUACGGCUGAACUCCAAGGCAUGCACAAGCGGAAAAGUCAUUUUUUAACUGCUAGCAUUGAACGCCAAGGGAUGUUCUUAUUGGACACCAUGGGAUCACUUAAAAAAUCAAUAAAUCAAAGGUUUUUGUGAAUUCAACCAUUACCAUCAUUGGAAUAUAUCAGUGAACAUUUAUUUGGCAUGGUGGAACCAAUAUGAAACGUAUUAUAAUCUACUAUCCCCAUUAUGGAACGCGUACUGGAACGCAAGAACUUCCGGUUCCGGUCGAGAUCUUUAUGUUGUAUGAUAUGGUUGGAUGCUUCCGCGUGUACGUGAGGACUGUGGAGCGCAGAGAUUUCCGUUUCCGGCAAUGAGAAUUAAGCUGUGUGAUGUAAUAGGAUACUUCCGCAUAUGCGUGAGGACUGUGGAACGCAUAGCGGAACGCAAGGACUUCCGGUUUCCGGCUACGACGGCGCGAGAUUCAAUUAUGGAUUUUAAUCAAUUGUGAUUAGUUUUGGGUAUAAAAAGAGGGUUUUUUAGAGUUACCACACAUGCUUCUGACGAAGGAUCGAGGAGGAUACGAAACGCGUUAAGCACGGUGUGGUUCGUGAGUCCAGGACGGUUUUGCUGUGGUGAUCUCCGGUGGCUGACACCUUUACCCGGGCUGUGUCAAAUCCCCUUUUCCAUCUUGGGAGCACCAGAGAUUCCCCUUCAGACCAGAGAGGACUCUAUGUGGAGUGAUGUAUUAUAUGCUUUUAUUCAUCUUUUACAUUGUGAGUGCGGUGUUGUAAAAUAAAAACAAUCCUUUUAAAAUAAAA